rnacentral:rRNA from 1 species
GAUUGUUUCAGCAGCCGCGGUAAUACAGAGGGUGCGAGCGUUAAUCGGAAUUACUGGGGUAAAGCGCACGUAGGUGGCUUUGCAAGUCGAUUGUGAAAUCCCCGGGCUUAACCUGGGAACUGCAGUCUAGACUGCCUUGCUUGAGUGUGGGAGAGGGAGGUGGAAUUUCCGGUGUAGCGGUGAAAUGGGUAGAUAUUGGAAGGAACAUCAGUGGCGAAGGCGACCUCCUGGACCAAUACUGACACUCAAGUGCGAAAGCGUGGGGAGCAAACAGGAUUAGAUAUGCUGGUAGUCCACGCCAUAAACGAUGAGAACUGGAUGUCGGAGGGGUCUGCCCUUCGGUGUCGUAGCUAACGCGUUAAGUUCUCCGCCUGGGGAGUACGACCGCAAGGUUGAAACUCAAAUGAAUUGACGGGGACCCGCACAAGCGGUGGAGCAUGUGGUUUAAUUCGAUGCAACGCGAAGAACCUUACCUGGUCUUGACAUGUCUGGAAUUCUGCAGAGAUGCGGAAGUGCCUUCGGGAACCAGAACACAGGUGCUGCAUGGCUGUCGUCAGCUCGUGUCGUGAGAUGUUGGGUUAAGUCCCGCAACGAGCGCAACCCUUGCCCUUAGUUGCCAGCAUUUAGUUGGGAACUCUAAGGGGACCGCCGGUGACAAACCGGAGGAAGGUGGGGAUGACGCCAAGUCAUCAUGGCCCUUAUGACCAGGGCUACACACGUGCUACAAUGGUCGGUACAGAGGGUUGCCAAACCGUGAGGUGGAGCCAAUCUCAGAAAGCCGAUCGUAGUCCGGAUUGUUCUCUGCAACUCGAGAGCAUGAAGUCGGAAUCGCUAGUAAUCGCGGAUCAGCAGCCCCGGUGAAUACGUUCCCGGGCCUUGUACACACCGCCCGUCAAACAAUCACUA